rnacentral:rRNA from 1 species
GCCGCCGUACCCUGACUGUGCUAAGGUAGCGUGAUUCUUGUUUUCUUAAUUAGAAAUCUGUUCAAAGAAUGAAAUGAAGAGAAUCUAUUGUUUCCAUAUGAAGUGAACUUAAAUUGUUAGUGAAAAUUCUGACAAGCGUUUAAAAGACGAGAAGACCCCACAAAACUUAAUUUGUUUAAAUGGGGACUUUAGAGUAUAAUAAUAGACCUAUUUCUAUAAUAUUAGCGAAGCUACUUUGGGGAUAACAGGGUAAAAUAUUUAGAGAGUUCAUAUCGAUAAAUAUAUCUACUACCUCGAUGUUGGAUUAUCUUUUCAUAUAUAUUGCAGCAGUAUAUAUUGUUAGUCUGUUCGACUAUUAAAAAGUUACGUGAUCUGAGUUC